rfam:Lactobacillus saerimneri 30a contig00023, whole genome shotgun sequence.
GAGAAAAAGCAGAAGCACCCGCUUCUCGCCUAAGGGACAGUGGUCCCGGGGCAGAUAUUAGUGAAAUUAAUUCCGCUAAAAACGGAUUAGGGUGCUGGCUAUUAUUGGAUACCAGCACCUUUUUUACAUC